UACGUAGGGGGCUAGCGUUGUCCGGAUUUAUUGGGCGUAAAGAGCGUGUAGGCGGCCAGGUAGGUCUGCUGUGAAAACUCGAGGCUCAACCUCGAGACGUCGGCGGAAACCAUCUGGCUAGAGUCCGGAAGAGGAGAGUGGAAUUCCUGGUGUAGCGGUGAAAUGCGCAGAUAUCAGGAGGAACACCUGUGGCGAAAGCGGCGCACUGGACCACAACUGACGCUGAGGCGCGAAAGCUAGGGGAGCAAACAGG
rnacentral:rRNA from 1 species